GAAAUUCGUCGGAUAAUGUAUGCGAUGUGUUUCCUAAAGGUCCAGAUAUUCUCCAACCAACCCUUCUCCUAACUGUGAGCUCCAGUGAAGAAAUCGCAAGCAGCAAGUUUGCAACCGUUGUCUGUUCAAUCAUCGAGUUCCGUCCGAAGUCAAUCUCCGUGAGUUGGUUGAAAAAUGGCCGACCCUUGGAUUCUGGCUUCUUCACGUCUCCCGUGUGUGAGGCGAACGGGAACUUCUCGGUGACGAGUCGGCUGAUGGUCCCUUAUGGUGAAUGGUUCAACAGCGCAGUUUAUACCUGCCAGGUCACUCAUGGAGAGAACAUUCAAAGUAAAAACAUCACCGCACUCCAGGAAGAUACCGAGUGCCACCCUAACACCGUUAAAACCCUCCCACCACCAGUAGAACAAGUCUUACUGGAGGCGACGGUGACGGUAACCUGCGUUGUGUCCAAUCUUCCUUCUGGAGUCAAUGUGACCUGGAAACAAGAAAAGAAGCCUCUGAAAUCAGAGAUUGCUGAGCAGCCUGGACAGAAUCCCGACAGCGUGAUCAGCAAAUUAGACAUUUCUACUGAUCUGAUUAAGUCAGAUAAGGUGGGAAGAAGCCUGGGUUGUGACGUCACCAUCAGCAAUGACAAAUGGACAGAAUGUCCUCGUUUGAUUAAUCCGCUGGAGCCAUCAGUUUCGGUCCUCCUGCCACCAACAGAAGAAAUCUCCGCUCAACGGUUUCUCUCCCUCACCUGUUUAGUGAGAGGUUUCUCCCCCCGAGAGAUGUUCGUCAAGUGGACAAACAAUGACAAGCCGGUGAAUCCCAGUAACUACAAGAACACCGAGGUGAUGGCGGAGAGUGACAACACUUCCUUCUUCAUCUACAGCCUGUUAUCCAUUACAGCGGAGGAGUGGGCCAGCGGUGCUUCUUACUCCUGUGUGGUGGGACAUGAAGCGAUUCCAUUGAAGAUCAUCAACAGAACAGUCGAUAAAUCCAGCG